AAUAUUGGACAAUGGGCGAAAGCCUGAUCCAGCCAUGCCGCGUGUGUGAAGAAGGUCUNCGGAUUNUNAAGCACUUUAAGUUGGGNGGAUGGGUUGUAGGUUAAUACCCUGCAAUUUUGACGUUACCAACAGAAGAAGCACCGGCUAACUUCGUGCCAGCAGCCGCGGUCAUACUAAGGGUCCAAGCGUUAAUCGGAAUUACUGGGCGUAAAGCGCGCGUAGGUGGUUCGUUAAGUUGGUAGCCCAAGCCCCGGGCUUAUCCUGGGAAUUGCUUUCAAAACUGACGAGCUAGAGUACGGUAGAGGGUAGUGGAAUUUCCUGUGUAGCGGUGAAAUGCGUAGAUAUAGGCAGGAACAUCAGUGGCGAAGGCGACUACCUGGACUGAUACUGACACUGAGGUGCGAAAGCGUGGGGAGCAAACAGG
rnacentral:rRNA from 1 species